UCAAACCAAAGCCAAAAUAAACUUUAACAUGACUAGAAGAAGUGUGCAAAAUUUCACAUUCAUAUGAUAAAGCACAAGCAUUUCACAAACCAAUGAAAUUCAAGACCAUUCGAAAGUGCACAAAUGACCAUCCAGAAUGACAAAUCUGAAACAAAUCAGAAAUGAAUCCAAAAAUUCCAAGAAAAUUCAUGAUCAAUCAACACAUCCAUAUCAAGCAUCAUACAAAAAAU
rnacentral:lncRNA from 1 species